ACCAGACUCCUACGGGAGGCAGCAGUGGGGGAUAUUGCACAAUGGGGGGAACCCUGAUGCAGCGACGCCGCGUGGGUGAAGAAGCGCCUCGGCGCGUAAAGCCCUGUCAGCAGGGAAGAAAAUGACGGUACCUGAAGAAGAAGCCCCGGCUAACUACGUGCCAGCAGCCGCGGUAAUACGUAGGGGGCAAGCGUUAUCCGGAUUUACUGGGUGUAAAGGGGGCGCAGACGGCGAUGCAAGCCAGGAGUGAAAGCCCGGGGCCCAACCCCGGGACUGCUCUUGGAACUGCGUGGCUGGAGUGCAGGAGGGGCAGGCGGAAUUCCUGGUGUAGCGGUGAAAUGCGUAGAUAUCAGGAGGAACACCGGUGGCGAAGGCGGCCAACUGGGCUUUAACUGACGCUGAGGCUCGAAAGUGUGGGGAGCAAACAGGAUUAGAUACCCUAGUA
rnacentral:rRNA from 1 species